GGCUAAGAUGAACAAUGCUUUUAUUUCUGACACCUCUUGUAUGAGAAGUGCCUCGAAAGGGCUCUUCUUUGAGCACAUUAAGCAACCCUCUGAGCC